rnacentral:misc_RNA from 1 species
AUGAAACUUCAAAGUCGGCUUGUCAUCUGUGCUGGUGGAGACACAUGUGCACGUUGCAAGUCGCAAAUCCCACACACCUGUGCACCUAUGACUCUGAGUACCGCUUUGCGUGGGCCCCUCAAAGGCCCUGGUACUCGAGUACUUUUACACACUCUGAAUGUAAUGGAAUGUCUAUUGUACAAGGUACAACCAAAA